rnacentral:rRNA from 1 species
UGCCAGCAGCCGCGGUAAUACGGGGGGUGCAAGCGUUAUCCGGAUUCACUGGGUUUAAAGGGUGCGUAGGCGGAUUAAUAAGUCAGUGGUGAAAUCCUAUAGCUUAACUAUAGAACUGCCAUUGAAACUGUUAGUCUUGAGUUCGGUUGAUGUGGACGGAAUGUAGCAUGUAGCGGUGAAAUGCUUAGAUAUGCUACAGAACACCGAUUGCGAAGGCAGUUCACAAAGCCGAUACUGACGCUGAGGCACGAAAGCGUGGGGAGCGAACAGGAUUAGAUA